rnacentral:rRNA from 1 species
GGUGAAAUUCUUGGAUCGUCGCAAGACGAACGGAUGCGAAAGCGUUUGCCAAGAAUGUUUUCGCUAAUCAAGAACGAAAGUUAGAGGUUCGAAGGCGAUCAGAUACCGCCCUAGUUCUAACCAUAAACGAUGCCAGCCAGCGAUGCGCCGAAGUUCCUCCGAUGACUCGGCGCGCAGCUUCCGGGAAACCAAAGCUUUUGGGUUCCGGGGGAAGUAUGGUUGCAAAGCUGAAACUUAAAGGAA